CUUUUAAACUGAUUAGUUGCCACCCAUAACCAUGACGUAAUACAGAUAAGUGACGGCAUUGACGUAUAAUUAGAUCAUGACUUCAUGAGUAUAUCUACGUCACAGCAAACGCUUUACUUUACUUGAUCAUGACUUGAUCAUAAUUUUUAUACAAAUUGCUAUUCAUCGCUGCAUGGAAAAAUUGGGUCACUAGUACCUACUAUUACAACACGUAUAGCCAUAGACAUGACUACAUUGUAUUAAAAAGCUGGAAAAUUACUUUUGUUAAACGCGCCAAUCUCUAGUACUGAUAAUUGGAAUUUAAAAAUCCUAUACUUUUGGAUAGCCUAUUUAUCGAGGAAGGCUAUACUCGUAGGCUCUACAACAACACGAAUGUAGUUGCAAUCGACAGCUAAUCUCUAAUAAAAUUAUUUCGUUGUGAUCGUUCAUUAAUUUUAGCUAUAUGAUCCAUAUUUAAAUUAAAUAUAAUAUCUUUUGCUUAAGGCUUCAUUAAAAUAGGCGAGGAAGGUUAAAAUUAGUUCCAUAUAUUACAAAAUUAAUCUUUGUUACAUACUAUGUACCUCUAAAACUAAAUA